rnacentral:rRNA from 1 species
AUGAAUCGCCCUCGCCUUUCCGUGGGAUCAUGGUCAAUUCCUGUCACUGAGACUGCUGGUUCGCAGCUAUGCCUUCUUUGCCGACCAGAGCUGCUUGUGGCAGAUGAGGAGCUUCUCCUUCUCAUUCUCCUUGUUCUCGGUGUCGUGCCUGUCGCAGGUCCAUCUCAUCCCCUUGGCGAUGGAGGCCACGGAGUCGAGGAAGUAGGGGUUGUCCCGGAUGAUGGCGUAGCCGGUCGGACGAAGGAUGCGGUCCAUCUCAACAAGCACAAAUUUCAUCUCGCAUCUGCAAUGCCAUGGACAAUCGGCCGUCGGCGUGCAGCAGAUCGUACGUCCGUGGGUACGUGGAGAAGGCCUCGCACCUAA